UGGCGGCGUGCUUAACACAUGCAAGUCGAACGGGACUGAUUGAAAGCUUGCUUUGAAAAGUCUAGUGGCAAACGGGUGAGUAACGCGUAGGCAACCUGCCUCUAAGAUGGGGACAACAGCCCGAAAGGGCUGCUAAUACCGAAUGUUGUAAGUAACUCGCAUGAGAGACUUACCAAAGAUGGCCUCUGCUUGUAAGCUAUCACUUAGAGAUGGGCCUGCGUCUGAUUAGCUAGUUGGUGGGGUAACGGCUCACCAAGGCGACGAUCAGUAGCCGGUCUGAGAGGAUGAACGGCCACAUUGGGACUGAGACACGGCCCAGACUCCUACGGGAGGCAGCAGUGGGGAAUCUUCCGCAAUGGGCGAAAGCCUGACGGAGCAACGCCGCGUGAAGUGAAGAAGGUCUUCGGAUCGUAAAGCUCUGUCGAAGGGGACGAAUGUGGGUUCUAUCAACAACGGAACCUAAUGACGGUACCUUUCAAGAAAGCCACGGCUAACUACGUGCCAGCAGCGGC
rnacentral:rRNA from 1 species